rnacentral:sRNA from 1 species
GGAUGUGAGGGUGAUCUGGCUGUGACAUCUGUCACCCCAUUGAUUGCCAGGGUUGAUUUGGCUGAUCUGGCUGGCUAGGUGGGUGUCCCCUUCCUCCCUCACCACUCCAUGUGUGUCCCUCCCGAAGCUGCGCGCUUGGUCGAAGAGGACGACCAUCCCCAAUAGAGGAGGACCAUUCUUCGGUCAAGGGUAUAUGAGUACCUGUGCUCCCCUGCUAGAACCUCCAAACAAGCUCUCAGGCGGUGGCUUAUCACUGCCU